rnacentral:rRNA from 1 species
AGCGCAGGCGGAAUAUUAAGUCAGUGGUGAAAUCCUACAGCUCAACUGUAGAACUGCCAUUGAUACUGAUAUUCUUGAGUAUAGUUGUAGUGGGCGGAAUAUGUCAUGUAGCGGUGAAAUGCUUAGAUAUGACAUAGAACACCGAUCGCGAAGGCAGCUCACUAAACUAUAACUGACGCUCAGGCACGAAAGCGUGGGGAGCGAACAGGAUUAGAUACCCUGGUAGUCC